AGUCUUCACAGGAAAAGUCAUGCCCUGCCCCUUGCUGUAAUGUGGAGGCAGUGCAGGUGUUGGGAGACUUACUUGCUGACUAUGAUGUCGCUUUUUGGCUUGAGUCUGCAUUGUUACCUGGCUGUCACCAGUCCCCUCCAUCCUUAUAAGCAUGCACCUCACUGACUGCUCCCCCAUUGGGACCUCCAGAGACCACUCAUUGUAGGCACCAUCUGCCCUGGAGCUGAUGCUCUACUCUGAGGUGUGCCAGAACUGGAGCUUUGGCUGGCAUUGGACCCUGACUCAUUGGACCCCGCAUUUGCACCACAGCAGACAAUAUUGUUCAAUAAAGGGUCCUAAAUCCAUCACCUCCUGCUACACUGAAUACCCACUCGGAAG